CAAGGCUUGACAUGACGGAAGUAAUGAUCCGAAAGGGGAAUGACCUGUUAAGCCAGGAGCCGUCACAGGUGCUGCAUGGCUGUCGUCAGCUCGUGCCGUGAGGUGUUUGGUUAAGUCCUGUAACGAGCGCAACCCUCAUUGCCAGUUGUAUUCUCUGGCGAGACUGCCCCGCAAAAUGGGGAGGAAGGUGGGGAUGACGUCAAGUCAGCACGGCCCUUAUGUCUUGGGCUACACACACGCUACAAUGGGUGGUACAAAGGGUAGCAAUAGAGUGAUCUGGAGCUAAUCCUAAAAACUAUCCUCAGUUCAGAUUGCAGGCUGAAACCCGCCUGCAUGAAGUCGGAGUUGCUAGUAACCGCAGGUCAGAAUACUGCGGUGAAUACGUUCU
rnacentral:rRNA from 1 species